CUAUAAUCUGGAUCAGCAUCAGAACCCAUUUGCAACUAGAAGCCUUUCAGCUAAUUAGUAAAUAAGUUGGAACAACACCACCAAAUAAGAUUAGUUAAAUGAAGGAAUGAGAGAACUUAGAAGUUCAGCAAAUAUCAAGUCUCUUGGUACCAAAUACUAUGUCAGUCAAGGUCCACUCAAGAUCAUUGAAGAGGCAUAUACACUUCCAAAGAGGCUGCCAGAAACAGAGAGAAAUAAGGUUAAAAUGAGAGUGAUUGCCCUUUCCAAGCUGCUUUGGUAAAGCUAACUUUAGGAGUUGCGGGGGAAGGUGGCCCAUCUGGUCCUGUGACGUUUUUCUGGAAAUAUCAUCAAAAUGGAAGUGAGAAAUGUGCUACAAACUGAACAAUCAUGAUCCCCUCUCACAUCUCAAAGGAAGAUUGUGAGAGUAAUGAACAUAAAUCAAGGCUGGGCUUGUCCUGCCCGAAUUGAGGCAAAACAGGUUUUUCUUUUAAAAACACAUCUGCCAUCAGGGGAUUUAAAUCGGGCUAUGCACAGUAAGGCCUCACUGUUGGCUGUUUGGAAUUGGAGUGACCUGCAGAACUCUUCUUUCCAUUUCAUCCAUGAUGAUUUUCUGAGAAGCAAGAAGGGCAAAGGCCCAGAGUGAUUCAGUGAAGGUGCAUAUGGUAUUCAUUCUGCAGAGAACAAAUAUGGAACAGGAGGAAAAGUGACAGUCACACCAUUUGCAUUUGCUAUUCUUGGAUCUACGGAAAGCACAGCCGUGAAUUGGCAUACAGAUGGGUUCUAAUUCAAGAGAUAACCAGGGGGAGGCCCAAAUACCCCAAAGCCAUGGAGUUACACCUUGUAUUGAACAGAUGGCACAGCCAGAGACCUGGGAUUUCCUAAAAUGCAACCAAGAAAGAAUCAUUUUGUCUUCGUGCAAAUGUGUUAAAUAUCAACAUUA